rnacentral:rRNA from 1 species
UACUGGGGGGCAAGCGUUGUUCGGAAUUACUGGGCGUAAAGGGCUCGUAGGCGGCCAACUAAGUCGGACGUGAAAUCCCUCGGCUCAACCGGGGAACUGCGUCCGAUACUGGAUGGCUUGAAUCCGGGAGAGGGAUGCGGAAUUCCAGGUGUAGCGGUGAAAUGCGUAGAUAUCUGGAGGAACACCGGUGGCGAAGGCGGCACUCUGGCCAGUUGUGACGCUGAGGAGCGAAAGCGUGGGGAGCGAACGAG